AGAGUUUGAUCCUGGCUCAGAGUGAACGCUGGCGGUAGGCCUAACACAUGCAAGUCGAACGGCAGCACAGUAAGAGCUUGCUCUUACGGGUGGCGAGUGGCGGACGGGUGAGGAGUACAUCGGAAUCUACUUUUUCGUGGGGGAUAACGUAGGGAAACUUACGCUAAUACCGCAUACGACCUACGGGUGAAAGCAGGGGAUCUUCGGACCUUGCGCGAUUGAAUGAGCCGAUGUCGGAUUAGCUAGUUGGCGGGGUAAAGGCCCACCAAGGCGACGAUCCGUAGCUGGUCUGAGAGGAUGAUCAGCCACACUGGAACUGAGACACGGUCCAGACUCCUACGGGAGGCAGCAGUGGGGAAUAUUGGACAAUGGGCGCAAGCCUGAUCCAGCCAUACCGCGUGGGUGAAGAAGGCCUUCGGGUUGUAAAGCCCUUUUGUUGGGAAAGAAAUCCAGCUGGUUAAUACCCGGUUGGGAUGACGGUACCCAAAGAAUAAGCACCGGCUAACUUCGUGCCAGCAGUCGCGGUAAUACGAAGGGUGCAAGCGUUACUCGGAAUUACUGGGCGUAAAGCGUGCGUAGGUGGUCGUUUAAGUCUGUUGUGAAAGCCCUGGGCUCAACCUGGGAACUGCAGUGGAAACUGGACGACUAGAGUGUGGUAGAGGGUAGCGGAAUUCCUGGUGUAGCAGUGAAAUGCGUAGAGAUCAGAGGAACAUCCAUGGCGAAAGCAGCUACCUGGACCAACACUGACACUGAGGCACGAAAGCGUGGGGAGCAA
rnacentral:rRNA from 1 species